UACGUAGGGGGCAAGCGUUAUCCGGAUUUACUGGGUGUAAAGGGAGCGUAGACGGCAUGGCAAGUCAGAUGUGAAAGCCCGGGGCUCAACCCCGGGACUGCAUUUGAAACUGUCAGGCUGGAGUGCAGGAGAGGUAAGCGGAAUUCCUAGUGUAGCGGUGAAAUGCGUAGAUAUUAGGAGGAACACCAGUGGCGAAGACGGCUUACUGGACUGUAACUGACGUUGAGGCUCGAAAGCGUGGGGAGCAAACAGG
rnacentral:rRNA from 1 species